CAUAAAUAUACAAACGGAUAUAUAGUGAAAAUGAAUGGUUGCAUAAAAGUGUAAUUAUCGUAUAACACUUACGUGGACUGAGCGAGUAGUUCGAAAAUCGGCUCUUGCUGAGCGAUUGCCUGUUUCGGUUCGUCGAUGAGCAAAAGUGUUAGCAACAUUGCAGCCAUCGACAUUGAUGACAAAAACCACAGUUUCAUUAACAUGGUGAAAUUGCCUCUCGUUUUUACAAACAUAUUGGUGUCACAGAGAGUGUGGUUCUCGUUUUACAUAUCAACAACCCCCCCGGUACACACUAUAAAUAUUAUGCGAUGUUUAUAGCGAGCACUAAGGUUUUUUUUUGUUAUUUACUUUUCC